AGUCGAAAGUUUGGGGAACAUGUCCCAGCCACUCUGAUUAAAAGAACAAGUGCUGCCAGUUUGAAGUAUUCGGUACAGAAGAGGAGGAAAAAAUAAAAUCUAAGGGACAAGAUGUUACAUCAUCAGUAUAUUUCAUGAAGUAAACAAUCAGCAAUGCCUGUGGAACAAUUGGGCUGAUCCUUGCUAUUGCCAACAAUAAAGACAAGAUGCACUUUGAAUCUGGAUCAACCUUGAAAAAAUUCCUGGAGUAGUCUGUAUCAGUGAGCCCUGAAGAACGAACCAGAUAUCUGGAUAAUUUUGACGCUAUUCGAGUUACUCAUGAGACCAGUGCCCAUGAAGGUCAGACUGAGAAAAGGAAAUUUUGAUACAGACAGGCACCGAUGGAAGACCAUGUGAAGACAAAUGCCAGAAACCACCAUCUCCAAGCCUCAGAAGAAACGAACCCUGCUAACACCUUAAUCUCAAAUUUCUAGCCUCCAGAACUGUGAGAAAAUGUAUUUCUAUUGUUUAUGCUCACCAGCCAGUGAUACUUUGUUAUGACAGCUCUAUCAAAUUAAUGAAAGCAUCAUUCUUCUCUGCUUAAAUUCUAAAAAACUUGACCUGUGAUUUUUAGAUCCACAGUCAGAAAUCAACCAUUGACAGCCACCUUCUAUUUUCUACUUACCCUUUGAGUCUCUGGCUUCUGAUAUCCAGUUCUUUAUUAUUCUGUUUGAACUCUAGCUAGGAAUCCAGGGUUUACACUCCCUUGUGAAUGGGUAGUUUUCAAUAAUGCAUCACAUGGCUGUUUCUUCUGUUACUAUUUAUGGACCCAUUGAUACAUAAGAAAUCUGCCUCCUAGAGAGGUUUUUUUUCUUAUAUGAAGUUAACCAAUUCAGAA